rnacentral:ribozyme from 1 species
AAGAAGAUCCGGCGGUCGUCUUUCCAGAGUUUUGAAGAGAAAGCUCUGGUCCUUGCUUGCUUGCUUUCCUUUUUCGGACAUUUUUUCUACACAGUUAUCAUCAAAAACGACCAAAAAAAAAAAACAAUCUUUCUUACUUUCCAAAUUUUCUUGUCUUUGU